GACGAACGCUGGCGGCGUGCUUAACACAUGCAAGUCGAACGGAAAGGCCCUGCUUUUGUGGGGUGCUCGAGUGGCGAACGGGUGAGUAACACGUGAGUAACCUGCCCUUGACUUUGGGAUAACUUCAGGAAACUGGGGCUAAUACCGGAUAGGAGCUCCUGCUGCAUGGUGGGGGUUGGAAAGUUUCGGCGGGUGGGGAUGGACUCGCGGCUUAUCAGCUUGUUGGUGGGGUAGUGGCUUACCCAGGCAUUGACGGGUAGCCGGCCUGAGAGGGUGACCGGCCACAUUGGGACUGAGAGACGGCCCAGACUGCUACGGGAGGCAGCAGGGGGGAAUAUUGCACAAUGGGCGGAAGCCUGAUGCAGCAGCGCCGCGUGCGGGAUGACGGCCUUCGGGUUGUAAACCGCUUUCGCCUGUGACGAAGCGUGAGUGACGGUAAUGGGUAAAGAAGCACCGGCUAACUACGUG
rnacentral:rRNA from 1 species